AUAUCAAUAAGCGGAGGAAAAGAAACCAACAGGGAUUGCCUCAGUAACGGCGAGUGAAGCGGCAACAGCUCAAAUUUGAAAUCUGGCCUUCUGGUCCGAAUUGUAAUUUGUAGAGGAUGCUUCGAACAUGGUCCGGUCUAAGUUCCUUGGAACAGGACGUCAUAGAGGGUGAGAACCCCGUAUGUGACUGGGUGCCUAAGUUCAUGUGAAGCUCCUUCAACGAGUCGAGUUGUUUGGGAAUGCAGCUCAAAAUGGGUGGUAAAUUUCAUCUAAGACUAAAUAUUGAUGGGAGACCGAUAGCGCACAAGUA
rnacentral:rRNA from 1 species